AAGUAUCUCUAACUGAAAGUAUCUUACCUGACUGUAAGAUGUGUCUUACCGUGGGCUGGUAAAGAGAAGGAAAUGGCCUUUCGCCCUCUGCGAGUAAACUUCUUUUUAAAUUCGUGCCUGCGGGCGAGAAAAGAAGGCAAGUAGCUGAGUUAAUGCUCCGGUUCUUUUCUUUACUGCGUCCCCCAGGAGACUGUUUGCUGUUCUCUUAUUGUUUCUGCUCGAGGGGAGCGAGUCCUAUGCCUCUAGGACAGGAAAUACCCCAGACCCAGCCUGCGGUUUGGAAGCGUCUCGCUGCUGCUGCUCUGCCAGUUCUAGAACUCAACUCCUGAAGCACGAGCCCUUGGGAAGCAUGGAAUAGAAACAGUGAUGGCAUGAAACUGCGCUGCGCGGCAGAUGGAGUGAAUGCAAGAAGAAGUUAUUUCAGUCGCAACAAUUAUCAAUGAUUGUUGUCCUUUUUUUUGUGAAUGACAAAAACUACCUGUAUGCAUUAAACUAUUUCUCUGUGUCUUGGGCUGGAGAAUGCAGAUGACAGAGUGUUAAAGGGGAUAGCUGUGAGGGUCCCUGUUAAAUAGGAGGGGAAAGGGGGUGAGAUGACCUCUGUGGGUCCCCUUUCAAUUGUAACAAUUCCAUAGUUCUGUGACAAGUCAGGCAGUGUUUAAGAAAACAGGGAUGCAUGCUUACUGUUUAGCGUAACAGCAAUAAUGAUGAUGUAAGUUGAAUGAAUUUGUUUUUAACAGAGGGGGAAUACUUUUAGUAGUAAGAAUGUUAUAUUCUACUGUUGAACUCUAGCUGCUGUGAUGUUUGCUGUGUAAAAUCCAGGUUACAAAAGGGAAUAAAUACUGCAUUUCUGUUGAGAAAA